rnacentral:rRNA from 1 species
CUACGGGUGGCUCCAGUGAGGAAUAUUGCACAAUGGGGGGAACCCUGAUGCAGCAACGCCGCGUGGAGGAUGACGCAUUUCGGUGUGUAAACUCCUUUUAUAUGUCAAGAAAAUGACGGUAGCAUAUGAAUAAGCACCGGCUAACUCCGUACCAGCAGCCGCGGUAAUACGGAGGGUGCAAGCGUUACUCGGAAUCACUGGGCGUAAAGGACGCGUAGGCGGGUUGGAAAGUCAGGUGUGAAAUCCUACAGCUUAACUGUAGAACUGCACUUGAAACUUCUAAUCUAGAGUAUGGGAGGGGGAGAUGGAAUUAGUGGUGUAGGGGUAAGAUCCGUAGAUAUCACUAGGAAUACCUAAAGCGAAGGCGAUCUCCUGGAACAUUACUGACGCUAAGGCGUGAAAGCGUGGGGAGCAAACAGGAUUAGAUACCCUAGUAGUC